rnacentral:rRNA from 1 species
UACAGAGGGUGCGAGCGUUAAUCGGAAUUACUGGGCGUAAAGCGCACGUAGGUGGCGACGUAAGUCGGGUGUGAAAGCCCCGGGCUCAACCUGGGAAUUGCAGUCGAUACUGGCAAGCUAGAGUUCGGUAGAGGGUGGCGGAAUUCCCGGUGUAGCGGUGAAAUGCGUAGAUAUCGGGAGGAACAUCGAUGGCGAAGGCAACCACCUGGGCCUGAACUGACACUGAGACACGAAAGCGUGGGUAGCAAACAGG